AGCGUUAUCCGGAAUUAUUGGGCGUAAAGGGCUCGUAGGCGGUUCGUCGCGUCCGGUGUGAAAGUCCAUCGCUUAACGGUGGAUCCGCGCCGGGUACGGGCGGGCUUGAGUGCGGUAGGGGAGACUGGAAUUCCCGGUGUAACGGUGGAAUGUGUAGAUAUCGGGAAGAACACCAAUGGCGAAGGCAGGUCUCUGGGCCGUCACUGACGCUGAGGAGCGAAAGCGUGGGGAACGAACAGGAUUAGAUACCCUGGUAAUCCACGCCGUAAACGGUGGAUGCUGGAUGUGGGGACCAUUCCACGG
rnacentral:rRNA from 1 species